rnacentral:siRNA from 1 species
UAUGAAAUAUUGGAUAGACCGCAC